AGGAGCCCUUUUCUACUGCCAGGCCAAAUCAUAGCUCCCUCCUGUUCCCCGGCAAUUCGGUGUGCUUGCAGGGAGGGUUUUGCUCACUGCUGGCAGCCAGUUCUACCCCUGAGCAGCUUGGCACCUUGGAGCCUCUUCUCAGCCAGGGUCAACCCGAUGCUCUCAACAACACAGUCUAUGCCAGCUGACAUGGAGCUAUCAGACCCUUCCAAGAAUCCGUACUGUGAACCAAAUGCACUACAAAGCUGAACUGAUCUUUUUUUUUUUUUUCAAAAUGAUAGAAAUACAGAGGUCUGGGUAAACCUUCCUGGGGUGUGAAUUAAACUUGUUUCUCCUCAGCAAGAAACCGAGUGUGUUCUGCAGGGGCUCCUCAUGGCAACACUGUCCCAUCUGCAAAAACCGAGGUGUUACAGAUAGGUUUGGAUUGGCAACACAAGGGACAGUUGUUCACAGCUCAAUGGGCCCAUGAUGCCUCAGGCCAUCAGGGCAGAGAUGCCACCUGUAGGUGGGCAUGAGACCCAGGGGUGGAUGUAACCAUGGACAGCAUCUCCCAGGUUAUCCAUGACUGUGAGACGUGAGCUGCCAUCAAGCAAGCUAAGCAGGUGAAGCCCCUGUGGUAUGGGGGGCAUGGUUCAAACAGAAGCAUGGCGAGGCCUGGCAGAUUGACUACAUCACGCUGCCUCCAACCCGCCAAGGCAAGUCCUACGUGCUCCCAAUGGUAGAAGCCACCCCUGGAUGGUUGGAGACCUACCCUGUGCCUCAUGGCACUGCCCAGAACACCAUGCUGGGCCUGGAAAAGCAGGUCUUUGGAGACAUGGUACCUGCGAGAGAAUUGAGUCCAACAAAGGGAUUCAUCUCAAGGACAGCCUUAUCAACACCUGGGCUAGAUAAGCUGGCGCUGAGUGGGUACAUCACAUUCUCGACCAUGCACCAGCAGCCAGGAAAGUUCAGCAGUGCAAUGAACUCUUCAAAAACACAUUGAAGGCAAUGGGGGAUGGGACCCUCAAGCAGUGGGAGCUGCAUUUAGCAAAGGCUACAUGGUUAGUUAAUAGCAGAGAUUCCACCAAGCAAGCUGGCCAUGCCCAAUCCGAGCCCCUGUGCACAGCAGGUGGAGACAAGGUUCUGGUGGUGCUCAUGGGAGGUGUGCUAGGAAAGACUGUUUGGAUUAAUUCUGCCUUGAUCAAAGACAAACCCACCUGUGGGGUUGUCUUUGCUCAGCACCUGGUUGCGCUUGGUAGAUGAUGCAGAAAGAUGGAUAAACACAAGGGAGAUCUCCAGGGGACCUUGUUUUUGGGGUGAAUUGCCCAAAACACUGUGCCUGUAUCCAUAUCUGCAUGUAUGUAUGUAUGUAUAUAAUUAGGAUAAUACAUAUAUGCAUAAAGUUCAAAAGUUAAAGUUUGAUGUAAGAUGUUGGUAUGGGAAAAAAUUCAGGGUAGAAUAUGUUGUGUGUCUAGGGUGGAUUUUUUGGUGAAUUUUUUCUCCUUUGUUACCUGAAAAGGGGGAUGUGGCAAGAAGAGGGCAGUUGAUGCCUGUGGGGAAUUAAUUGUCCGUGGGGCAAUUGAGAUGCAAAAGAACUGGCCAAUGACUCUCCCAUUCCACUGGAAACUUCCAGGGAAGGAGGAUGGGGUUGGGCACUGGCCUGCUGAGGGAAGAAUCAGCUGGCCAUGCUAGGAGCAGGGCAGUUUGGGCGGUUUUUGGUGCUGGACCCGGCACUGCUUCAGGAUUCUCCUUGCCAGCCAUAGGUGAGCCCAUUGCUUGCAGCAGCUGUUGGUUGAUGGGGACUUUUCCACACUCAUCAACGCCAGGAAGAUCCUCACCAUCUGUGUGGGUGCUUGAGGGGAAACAGGACCCCCCCCCCCACCUAUUCUCUCUCUCUCUGGAGAGAGGGAGCCCCAGGUGCUGCUUGACUGGAACCACAGCAGAGCUGCCAUGGCCAGGAUACUGCCACAGACAGGUGAGAACCUGGGGAAAGCAGAGCCCUGGCUUCCCUCUGUCCCCGAGGCCGCUGUUACCCCUGGGGUGGCUCAGGGCUCGCAACCGGGGGGCCCUGGAGCCCCCUGGGCCAACAGCGCUCCCCGGAGCCAGGGCAGAGUCACUGCAGCCGCUCUGCCCCGCCGGCAGCUCACAGCGCCCUCUGCCGGUUGUGGUCAUAACUACAGCAAAGGCAGAACUGCUCAGCGGGGGGAAGAGUCUGGCAUUGCUUGGGGGGUGCUGGUGGCUUUUCUCUCUUGUUCACCUGUUUAUAUAUAUAUUCUAGUAAAGAACUGAUAUUUCUGUUCCCGUA